UUCCUAAUGUUGAAUCAGAAUGUCAUUUCUUGUAAUUUGAAUUCAUUGGUUCGAGUCCUACCCUUCGGAGCAGGAGAAAACAAGCUUGCUCCAUCUUCCAGUGUGACAGCUCUUUAGAUAUUUGAAGACAGCUAUCAUAUCAGCUCUCAGACUUCUCUUCUCCAGGCUAAACAUACCCAGCUCCCUCAAC